rnacentral:rRNA from 1 species
UACGAAGGGGGCUAGCGUUGUCCGGAAUUAUUGGGCGUAAAGAGCGUGUAGGCGGCCAAGCAGGUCAGCUGUGAAAACUCGAGGCUCAACCUCGAGACGUCGGUUGAAACCGCUUGGCUAGAGUCCGGAAGAGGAGAGUGGAAUUCCCGGUGUAGCGGUGAAAUGCGCAGAUAUCGGGAAGAACACCCGUGGCGAAGGCGGCUCUCUGGGACGGUACUGACGCUGAGACGCGAAAGCGUGGGGAGCGAACAGG